rnacentral:lncRNA from 1 species
CUUUGCGCUGCCCGACUCGCUGCUCGUGGUGCUGGACAUGGAUGAGGGCACACUCAGCUUCAUCGUGGAUGGCCAGUACCUGGGCGUGGCCUUCCGAGGUCUCAAGGGCAAGAAGCUGUACCCGGUGGUGAGUGCCGUGUGGGGCCACUGUGAAGUCACCAUGCGCUACAUCAACGGCCUUGACCAAAACUGAAUUCCAGGCUUUUUAAGAAAGCAUAGAGUUCCCUGGGUCUACUAAGAACCAUCUGGCAGUCCAGCCAAGAAAAGGGGCCUCUGUAAAGCAGUGAACUCAGCGUGAGCUUUGAGUACAAACGGGGCCACACUGAACUUACCAGUGUGCAACUCGCUUCCUUCAUGAUUGAAUGAAACAUUGCAGGAGGAAUUUCAGGCCAAGGAGCCCUUCCUGGCAGCGUCAAUCCUGCUUAGGGGGUCAUCCCCAUCCUCCAAGUUUGGGACCAACCCAAGCCAGAGGCUACUGGUCCUUAAGGAAGGGGUGUGUGUGACAAGUUUUUGCUCUCUUCAGGUGGACGAGGGUCCAAACACUGGCUGACCUUUCCCCAUCUGCACCGGGAGGCCAGACCAGGAUGGGGAUUUGCAGCCACAAAGAUUGGCCAAAACGGUUCCAGCCCAUACGUCCAGCAGGAGUAGAACAGUGCAGUAAGGACCCCAGGUGCCCACAGACCUCAGAAAGGAUACACAGGACACAGAGGAGUCAGGGAGUGAAAGGAGGGCUGUGCAGAGGAGGUAACACUCUGAGUCCUGAAAUCUGGGUAUUUGCCUAGUGGAGUAGAGCCUGGAGGAGAAGGAGGGGCCUAGCAGGAAGGCAAGGCAGGCCAGAGGCCAGCUUGAACAAAGGUGGAGGGAGGAGAUGAGUGUGGGGCAGGUAAGACAGUGAGCAGAGGUGGUGUUUUCAACGUCUUGGCCUGUAGUUUUCCUGAAUGGCAAUGAAGCAUUUUAUCAGAUUUUCGCAGCCAGGCCUGUGCCAGCAGCCUCAGGGUUGGGAACCAGAUGAGAUGAUGGACACAUUUGGACAGAACCUCUUACCUUAUUCUUUGGGGAAAUUUGUCAAAAGCCAGUUAUCUUUGCAAAACCAAUUUUCAGGGAUUUCACAGAAAUCAUUUCACAAUUUUUGGGUGUUGACAGCUCUGCCAUUAAUCAGCUAGGGUGACCUUGGGAAAGUCACUCUAGGUCCUGCUUUAGAAUUGCUUUUUUUGUUGUUUUGAAAGCAGCUGAUAAAAUCUUGCAGUGGGGUGGGGAGAUCUAGGAACACUUGUCUUGGUUGGUGUUGGCCACUCCCUCCCUCCCCCGUCCCUUGUGUUUUUGCUCCUGCCUCCCUUACAGACCACUUAUAAAUGAGGGGAAAUGCUAAGCAGAACAAUUCUUUCUCAUCCCCUCUUCUCUCCCUCUCUUCUCCUGCUUCCCAGUUUGGGAAUGUAUUAAUAUGUUGGUGUUAGCCCAGAAUUUAAACUCCCAAUUCUACCACCAUGUGUCCAUGAGAAAGUCCAUUUUUAAAUUAACUGAAUCUGCACAUAUUAAUUGAGUACCUACUACAUGCCAAGCACUAUUCCAGGCACUGAGGACACAAAACAGCAGGGACAAAACGGACAAAAGUCUCUGUCCUCAUGAAGCUUAUAUUUUAGUAGGUGGAGACAGAAAAUCAGUCAGUAAAUGAACAGUAAAGUGUUAGCUAAUGAUAAGUACGGUGGAGAAAAAUAAAAUAGGAAAGGAGCUGGAGUGUGUUGGAGGAGGCUGGGGCUUGCAAUUUUAAAUAAGAUGGUUGAGAAACUCGUGGAGAAAGUGAUAUUUAAGCAAAAAAAACUUGAAAGAGGGGAGGGAGUGAGCUAUGUGGGUAUCUCUGGGGAGGGUUAUCCAGGCAGCAGAAACAGCAUGUACAAAGGCUCUGUGGUACAUGUGUUAGAACCCAAGAGCAAGGGAGAGAGGAGCAGGGCCUGAGACCAGAGCGAAACCGGGCACAGAGGUUAGCCGAUCAAGGAUGAUGUUUGGCUUUUUCUCUGAGUGAGACGGGGAGUCACUACAGACUUUUGAGAAGAAGGGUGGCAUGAUUUGCCUAGGUUUUAAAAGGAUCACUUUAACUGCAAUCUUGAAAAUAGACCGUAGAGGGGCCAGGGCAGAAGUAAGGAGGCCAGCUAGGAAGGAGGCUAUUUCAAUUAAGGUAAGAGAUGCUGGUGGCUUGGCUCGGGAUGGCAGCAGUGAAGAUGGUGAGAAGUAGUUGGAUGCUGGAUUUAUUUUGAAAGUGAAGCCAACAUAAUUUGCUGUAAAGGAUAAGAAAAGAGUCAAGGAUAACUCCAUGGUUUUGGGCCCAAGUGACUGGAAGGAUGGAGGGGCCAUUCACCAAGAUGGGCAAGACUGUGGGUUGGGGAGUGGCCAGCAGGGGCUCAGAUUUGGACAUGCUAUGGUUGAGAUGCCCAUCGGACAUCCAUGAGGAGGUUCUGUGUGGACAGAGGUCAAGCAUACAGAUUUUUAAAAUAGCCAUGAUGUAGCAUGAAAUCCCCUGGCGAAGGAGGGUGGCUACUGAAGAGAAGAGGUCCCAGCACCAAGCCCUUGGGCACUGUAAUGCUUAGAAACCAAGGCUCAGUUUCUGCUUCUGUAAAGUAGGGAUAAAAGCCAUAACCACCUCGUGAGCAUUGUCAUGGAGAUUAGUGAGACAGUCCAUGUAAUAAAGUGCAUACAGUAAGAGUACCAAAAACAUGAGUUUCUAUUAAUGACAGAAAUUAUUGUUUCAACAAGCAUGAUGCUGUCUACUUAUAAGUGCUUUUCAACUUUUGAAUCUGUUUUCUAUUAUUUUUGACCGUCAAAACUGUCCUGAGCAAUAAGGCAGGACAUAAUCCUUCCCAUCUGACAAGUGAGAACCCUGAGUUCAGAGAGUGUAAGGGAAGUGCCCAGAUCUCCACCACAUGUUGGUGACAGAGCCAGGGCUGUCAUGGAAACCCCAGACUCCUGCUCCUCUGAUCUCUCUGCCACAGCCUGUAAAUGCUGACAAAUGACUUAAUUAAAGUAGUGCAGGUGCUGUUUGCCAGCAGUAAUGUGGACGCUGACUUCGCUCAGGAUAGCCCAAUGGCACUGCCCACUACAGGUGGUACCAGGGGCCCGGGUUCAUGCUAAAAAUGGCCAGGGAACACAGGCUGCAACCUACAGAGGUGGUGACAGGGCAGAGAGACUUCCUUUUGUCAGACAGUUUCCUUUUGGAAGGCAGAUGAGCAGGUAGAGCUCAUUCCCUACCAGCUCCCUUCAGCAAAGCCUGUGUCUCUGGAGCCUGCUCAGCCCAGAUGCUGCUUUUCUCAGUAGUCAGUGUAACAUGGAACACAGCAGGGAGCAAACUCUGGAGGAAGCUAUGAACCCAGAGCUGGCAGCAUGGGGACAGGCAAGGUCUGGAUUUGUGGGAAGCAGAAUGUCAGUUUUGAAUCAGACGGAGCUAGGUUCAAAUCUCAGCUUCCUUUAUCCCGAGCUGGGAGACCUGGUGCAAGUCAUUUCACCCCUCUGAGCUUUGGCUUUCUCUUCUGCAAGAUGGGAGGGUAAUCCUUGCUUCUCAGCAUUGUUUAAGGAUUAGACAUAACAAUGUAGAGUGAGGGCACAAACAAGGCCUGCUAAAUAGUAGAUAUUAUUAUUAGCAUUAGCAUUAGCAUAUUAGCAAAAGACUUCCAGGGUGAAAUCAAACUACAUUCAACCAAAGCCCUUCUCCUUCACUAACCAUAUCUACCAUUCUCGACUAUCAACAAAUGAUCAGUCAAGAAGCAUUCAUUAGAGCCGACUACACAUAAGGCUUUGUUGUUGAUACAACUAAUACCUCCAUGUGCCCCUGUGCACCAGGAGUGGGCCUUGAGGCUGGGAUGGAACUGGACUCUGCCAGAAUAACUCUGGGCAGCUGGGGCCUGCUCAGGCAGCUACCACCUUUGCCCAGACACCCCUUCCUGUACUGCCCUACCAGCUGGCCCUUUAGAGGCUUGACUGGCAUGGGGGCUCAGGCUCUUGCUGUGGGGUUUACUGCUGCUGAGGCCGGGUGAGCAGCCUGGGCACUGUCCCAAGGCAGGGAACGAGGAGGCAACAUUCCCUGCACGGGAAGGGAACCUUCCUAUAUGGCAGUGCACGCUCACUGUCUUGUCAACUUCCUCACACCUGUGCUGCUGCAAGGAGGGACUGCUCUCCCAUUUUACGAGGCUCAGAGGGGUGAAGUGACAUGCCCAAGACCACGCAGCUGUUUCCAGGCUAGUCUGAUGCUUGGGCUCUGCUCUUUUUCUUCUGCCUGCUUUCUCCCUCCCCAG